rnacentral:rRNA from 1 species
GAGUUUGAUCAUGGCUCAGAUUGAACGCUGGCGGCAGGCUUAACACAUGCAAGUCGAACGAUGAUUACUAGCUUGCUAGUAUGAUUAGUGGCGAACGGGUGAGUAAUGCUUAGGAAUCUGCCUAUUAGUGGGGGACAACAUUCCGAAAGGAAUGCUAAUACCGCAUACGUCCUACGGGAGAAAGCAGGGGAUCUUUUGACCUUGCGCUAAUAGAUGAGCCUAAGUCGGAUUAGCUAGUUGGUGGGGUAAAGGCCUACCAAGGCGACGAUCUGUAGCUGGUCUGAGAGGAUGAUCAGCCACACUGGGACUGAGACACGGCCCAGACUCCUACGGGAGGCAGCAGUGGGGAAUAUUGGACAAUGGGCGAAAGCCUGAUCCAGCCAUGCCGCGUGUGUGAAGAAGGCCUUUUGGUUGUAAAGCACUUUAAGUGGGGAGGAAAAGCUAAUAAUUAAUACCUAUUA